GACGAAGGUGGCUAGCGUUAUUCGGAUUUACUGGGCAUAAAGCGCACGUAGGCGGCGCGGUAAGUCGGAGGUGAAAGCCCACAGCUCAACUGUGGAACCGCCCCCGAUACUGCCGUGCUUGAGUGCAGGAGGGGUGACUGGAACUCCAGGUGUAGCGGUGAAAUGCGUAGAUAUCUGGAGGAACACCAGAGGCGAAGGCGGGUCACUGGACUGCAACUGACGCUGAGGUGCGAAAGCUAGGGGAGCAAACAGG
rnacentral:rRNA from 1 species